CCUCCCGUUUUUGGCAGGCCCCGGCCGCCCCGUGCCCGGGCCUGUGAUGUCCAGAGGUAGAGCAGCGACUCUUUCACGGGCACCC
rfam:Buceros rhinoceros silvestris contig79984, whole genome shotgun sequence.